rnacentral:rRNA from 1 species
GACAGAGGCCUCAAGCGUUAGGCGGAAUCACUGGGCUUAAAGCGUGUGUAGGCGGAUGCCUAAGUACCUUGUGAAAUCCCACGGCUCAACCGUGGAACGGCUGGGUAUACUGGGCGUCUUGGGCCAUUCAGGGGCGACUGGAACAAGCGGUGGAGCGGUGAAAUGCGUAGAUAUCGCUUGGAACGCCGAAGGUGAAAACAGGUCGCUGGGGAUGUGCCGACGCUGAGACACGAAAGCCAGGGGAGCAAACGGG